AUUGAACGCUGGCGGCAUGCCUUACACAUGCAAGUCGAACGGUAACAGGUCUUCGGAUGCUGACGAGUGGCGAACGGGUGAGUAAUACAUCGGAACGUGCCUAGUAGUGGGGGAUAACUACUCGAAAGAGUGGCUAAUACCGCAUGAGAUCUACGGAUGAAAGCAGGGGAUCGCAAGACCUUGUGCUACUAGAGCGGCCGAUGGCAGAUUAGGGAGUUGGUGGGAUAAAAGCUUACCAAGCCGACGAUCUGUAGCUGGUCUGAGAGGACGAUCAGCCACGCUGGGACUGAGACACGGCCCAGACUCCUACGGGGGGCAGCAGUGGGGAAUUUUGGACAAUGGGCGCAAGCCUGAUCCAGCAAUGCCGCGUGCAGGAUGAAGGCCUUCGGGUUGUAAACUGCUUUUGUACGGAACGAAAAGCCCUGGGUUAAUACCCUGGGGUCAUGACGGUACCGUAAGAAUAAGCACCGGCUAACUACGUGCCAGCCGCCGCGGUAA
rnacentral:rRNA from 1 species